rnacentral:lncRNA from 1 species
UUCAGGAAUUCUGCACCAACUUUAUUUGCAAAAAAAAAAAAAAAAAAACAAGCAGAGAGAGGGACAGAAAAGUCUCCGCGCCCCUCUGGGCUCUGCAACAACUUGUCUCUCCCUGAGAAGCACCAGGCCCGCCCCACUCAGCUCAGCCCACCGACACCCCGCCCACACAGCAAGCCUACAAAGCCCCACCCAUGAGCAGCGGUCUGCUCUUUGCGGUUCACACCCCUCCCUGGCCCAGGCCCAGCCCCGGAGGGCCGAGAUAGAAAAGGCUGGGCUACACAAUGGCAAACUGGCAGAUGUAGGGCAACUGAUCGCGACAUCGCUUGUCGAACCACUUGCCGUUGGCUGCGCCGGAGAGGGCGGCGCAGUUCUCGGCUUUGCCGCCGUCGGGUUGCGUCGUAAUCUCCGUCUCCCAGUUCUUGUAGGCCAGGCGGCCG